GACGAACGCUGGCGGCGUGCUUAACACAUGCAAGUCGAACGGAAAGGCCCUGCUUUUGUGGGGUGCUCGAGUGGCGAACGGGUGAGUAACACGUGAGUAACCUGCCCUUGACUUUGGGAUAACUUCAGGAAACUGGGGCUAAUACCGGAUAGGAGCUCCUGCUGCAUGGUGGGGGUUGGAAAGUUUCGGCGGUUGGGGAUGGACUCGCGGCUUAUCAGCUUGUUGGUGGGGUAGUGGCUUACCAAGGCUUUGACGGGUAGCCGGCCUGAGAGGGUGACCGGCCACAUUGGGACUGAGAUACGGCCCAGACUCCUACGGGAGGCAGCAGUGGGGAAUAUUGCACAAUGGGCGGAAGCCUGAUGCAGCAACGCCGCGUGCGGGAUGACGGCCUUCGGGUUGUAAACCGCUUUCGCCUGUGACGAAGCGUGAGUGACGGUAAUGGGUAAAGAAGCACCGGCUAACUACGUGCCAGCAGCCGCGGUGAUACGUAGGGUGCGAGCGUUGUCCGGAUUUAUUGGGCGUAAAGGGCUCGUAGGUGGUUGAUCGCGUCGGAAGUGUAAUCUUGGGGCUUAACCCUGAGCGUGCUUUCGAUACGGGUUGACUUGAGGAAGGUAGGGGAGAAUGGAAUUCCUGGUGGAGCGGUGGAAUGCGCAGAUAUCAGGAGGAACACCAGUGGCGAAGGCGGUUCUCUGGGCCUUUCCUGACGCUGAGGAGCGAAAGCGUGGGGAGCGAACAGGCUUAGAUACCCUGGUAGUCCACGCUGUAAACGGUGGGUACUAGGUGUGGGGUCCAUUCCACGGGUCCCGUGCCGUAGCUAACGCUUUAAGUACCCCGCCUGGGGAGUACGGCCGCAUGGCUAAAACUCAAAGGAAUUGACGGGGCCCCGCACAAGCGGCGGAGCAUGCGGAUUAAUUCGAUGCAACGCGUAGAACCUUACCUGGGUUUGACAUGGAUCGGGAGUGCUCAGAGAUGGGUGUGCCUCUUUUGGGGUCGGUUCACAGGUGGUGCAUGGCUGUCGUCAGCUCGUGUCGUGAGAUGUUGGGUUAAGUCCCGCAACGAGCGCAACCCUUGUUCACUGUUGCCAGCACGUUAUGGUGGGGACUCAGUGGAGACCGCCGGGGUCAACUCGGAGGAAGGUGGGGAUGACGUCAAGUCAUCAUGCCCCUUAUGUCCAGGGCUUCACGCAUGCUACAAUGGCUGGUACAGAGAGUGGCGAGCCUGUGAGGGUGAGCGAAUCUCGGAAAGCCGGUCUCAGUUCGGAUUGGGGUCUGCAACUCGACCUCAUGAAGUCGGAGUCGCUAGUAAUCGCAGAUCAGCAACGCUGCGGUGAAUACGUUCCCGGGGCU
rnacentral:rRNA from 1 species